AUGAAGCUGAAGAUGAGGAAGGAAAACUACCGUGAGGAAAUUACUCAGUGGACUAAGGACAACAAAAAGGCUAGAGUGUUUAUGCUUGGAUCAAUGUCUGAUUCUCUAGCCGGAGAGUAUGAACCAGAGGAAUCAGCUCGCAAAAUAAUGAGGAGAUUGGAAAAGGAUUUUGGAGAAGUUUCACUUAUCAAAGUUCUUAGCUUGGUGAAUCAGUUUUUGACUGCGAAGAUGACAGAAACCACUUCUGUUAGUGCGCAUCUGAAUAAAUUGUGUGUGUUAGUAGAGGAACUAAAGAAUGCUGGAUACCCUUUCCCUGAAGAAGUUCAAGUUAUGGUUGCUCUAAACUCUUUGCCAAACUCUUGGGAACAAUUUAAAAUAUCCUUUUGUCAUACUGAGCGUGUGCUAAACACGGGGACGCUUAGGCAUCAUCUACUCAUGGAAGAAGACAGGAAGUCCACACAAGGGAAAGAGAGAAGGUCUCAACAUGAUGAACUACACCUUGGUGAGGACAAGUCUUCAAGCAAGAGGAAUUGGCAAAAGAGGAAAUAUGGGGCAGAUUUGAGGGAUAAAAUAAAUCAGAAGCGUGAUAGGAAUGAUUACAAAGGAAGAAACUCAAAUCAAAAGGUUGACAAGAGGAAAUUUAACUGCCAUAAUUGUGGUGAACAAGGACACUUCAGAUCUGAGUGCACUAAGAAGAGGAAGCCAGAUGAUAAGAAGUAUAACAACAACCAGUCCAAGCAUCAAGAUAAUAGAAGGGGAAAUUCUUCACCUGAUGCUGCAGGGAUAUACUGA
rnacentral:rRNA from 1 species